UACGUAGGGGGCAAGCGUUAUCCGGAUUUACUGGGUGUAAAGGGAGCGUAGACGGAAUUGCAAGUCUGAUGUGAAAAUCCGGGGCCCAACCCCGGAACUGCAUUGGAAACUGUAUUUCUAGAGUGUCGGAGAGGCAAGUGGAAUUCCUGGUGUAGCGGUGAAAUGCGUAGGUAUCAGGAGGAACACCAGUGGCGAAGGCGGCUUGCUGGACGAUGACUGACGUUGAGGCUCGAAAGCGUGGGGAGCAAACAGG
rnacentral:rRNA from 1 species